rnacentral:lncRNA from 1 species
CCUCGUCUGCAAACACCUUCUUUUCCGCUGACUCUUCUUCUUCCUCUCAUAAAAGUUGCACAGUCACCCACAAACGAAAGGAAGACCUGCAGAUGCACAAAAUCUGAAUCCAGAUGUGGUGUUUCUCUCUCUCUCCUUUGCAGCGACGUCUCUCUCUCCAAGCCACAGCAAAGACGAACCUGUAGCAACAAGAAUGAAGCUGCAGCGGUUGAAGACGGGGAAAGCAACUCGGCCUUGUCAUUCGAACCUGCACUCGCAUUCACUUUCUCUGACCGAGUCAAGCAGAGCAGACUUUUGAUGCCUUCCUAGGUUCUUCGCCGGUUUAGCAACCUCAGCCUGACAGAGCACUAUAUAAAAAAUAAAAAUAUAUAUAUAUAUAUAUUUAUAUAUGCGGCAAACCGUCCUCAGCAAUAAAACAUACCUCACAGAGUGAAGGCAGCGCCCUCCUUCCUCUUCUCCAUUGGUGGAAACAUUUGCAGCGCCAUCGAGGACGAUAAACGGAAGCCCGAGCGGUUGUAGCAACUAUGCUGCAGUCCUUCAUCCUUCCGUCCUCAUACUCUCAUGCAACUCUCCCUGAA